UACGAAGGGGGCUAGCGUUGCUCGGAAUCACUGGGCGUAAAGCGCACGUAGGCGGAUUGCUAAGUCAGGGGUGAAAUCCUGGAGCUCAACUCCAGAACUGCCUUUGAUACUGGCGAUCUUGAGUCCGGGAGAGGUGAGUGGAACUGCGAGUGUAGAGGUGAAAUUCGUAGAUAUUCGCAAGAACACCAGUGGCGAAGGCGGCUCACUGGCCCGGUACUGACGCUCAGGUGCGAAAGCGUGGGGAGCAAACAGG
rnacentral:rRNA from 1 species